AACAUAGCAUGAUAAGCCUAUGGAGUUGAGAAACUGGGGGGAAUACAAUCCUAGUAUUCACCAAUCUUGAUCACAACCAAAGUUAAUAUUUUCUCUUUAUUCAAUAUUGCCAUUCAAAUCCCCCCAUAUACUUUUCCAGUUUUGCUCAUUGAUUACAUCAUCUUAAAUCUACGAGUCCAUGUAUUCCCUUAGGAUUUGACCCCAACCUUUGUUGGGUUACUAUAUUUUGACAAC
rnacentral:lncRNA from 1 species